ACAUCCUCCCUGGGAUAACCCCUUUUCUGCAGGAAAGCUAGAGAAACCUCUUCCUCCUUCUGUCCCCAGGAUGGGAGGUUGUGGAACCCUGGCCGACAACUGAAUCCCUGGAAGAAACAGCCCUCUUUCCCAAAGACUAAAAUAGAGUAAAUGAAUGCUUUCUUCACAUGGCCAGCAACAUCCUCUCUCCCUCUCCCCUAUUCCCCAGAAGAAAGAUGAGUAUCUCAAUGUGGGGGGAAGAGGGAGGCAGAGGCUCCCACCCUCUGGGGAAGGCCUAUGUUGAGAUACAGACAAGCCAGACAUGGGAUUUACAGUCAGCGGCACCUCCACCCAACCUGGCCCCUAGAAGCAUCAGUUAAAUCUUGGCAGAAAUGGACAGGCACUCCCAGGCCGCUUCGGAGGAGGGAGCUAGAUGGAUGGUGAGUGGCACUUUAGGGCCACUGGCCUGCAUGGCCUGUGGCCUAGGGUCCCUUCUCUGCCAGUGUUGCCAACACAGCCCCAAGGAGCUGUCCACCUGCCAUCUCUGGGACACCCGGAAACCUACAACAGGAGGGUCUGAGAUGUAGAAGCGCCCACGCCUGCCUCAAGGCCUAUCUGUACACCUCUGUCUCCACACAAGAACCAAGGCAGCCAUCUGUUCACCUCUCAAGCUCAGGUCAAUAUGUGGGGUGGGGGUUCCCUCAGACAAAGAAACAUUCUCUGUUUUUGUUAUUGUGCUUCUUCUAAAAUAAAAUAAAAAAUUAAAAAAUAUAUAUUUAUCCUUGGCAAGAAAGAAUUCCCUGAGAGUGGAGGGAGUGGAAAUAAUAACUAAUAAGACAGUAUUCCAUUUUCUGGCCUCUGGGAGAAAAUGUUUAUUUAUUUUAUUUUGAGGGGGCCGAGGGAAUCUGAACUUUUAGAGAGUGCUGUGAUUUACUAGAGGGAGGAGGCAAAGACUCAGAGCCACAAGCAAUUGGUGGGAAACUAGGCCUCAAAGCAGAAAAUGAAAAGUCUAUCUGGGGGAAGAUUUUUAAAUAAGUGGGUCAGAGGGACUGAGCAGAGAUGAGACGAUCAAUCUUAGCCCCCUGACAGCUCCCUCCGAUUGCAUCAAAGAAUUUGGCUCUUUGGGAAAGCAGAAGGAACAGCCGAAAUUCCACAUCCCUUAAAAAGGCCUGAGGGAGGGGGUGGCAAAAAGAGAAAGGUGAUUCUGGGAGAGCCAGGAAACAGAUGGGAAAUGGGGACAGAGGGAAGGCGCUGAGCUGGGUGGAAAGUUUGCCCGAGAACUCCCACGGCUCGGGCCUCCCCUCCCCCUCCUGGCUCUCGGUCGCCCGCCCUGCCGGGCGGAGAAGGCUGCUUAGCAGGGAAAUGGCAUCUCGGCCUGGAGCUGGAACUAGAAACUUUCUGUCAGUGUAACAUCCGCGUGGGUGGUGACCCAAUGGUGGUUGGGUUUCAGGUCACGUGACGACUUCUUUGUAGCUCCGGAAGAGGAUUGCGGAGUUUAGGAGAAUGAGUGGGGGAAAUAUCAAGAGUUGGGGGCUAACCCAGAGAUGUAAGGUGUGUUAGUUUGGGCGCUUCUUGGAUUCUACCCUGAGGAGGAGGCGCGUGGUGAGAGGAGAGAUCUUGAUCUGGCGCUCGCUGAGGUUCAGCAAGUUGGCCAUCUCCACGCGGCGCGGCCGGCACAGGUAGCGGUUGAAGUGGAACUCCUUCUCCAGCUCCACCAGCUGCGCGCUCGUGUACGCCGUGCGCGCGCGCUUGGACGCCGCUGACCCCGG